UUCCUGCCGAGCGGGCUCACCCCGCCCGGUUGCCAUUAGUUACCCGGACGCACCUCCCACCCCACCACCGGGUAAAACGCUCCUCACACUGCUUCUGGGACACCCGGUCACACGCUCGCCCACUGGCCCGCAGGCCCCCGCACAGCCCCUUAAGAGCUCCUUAAGACUUACUCUGAGCCCCCGAAUUGUGAGACCUCUCAGGCUAGGGCCCCGAGGGCUCUCCAGAACCGAGCCUCAGCCCACUCCUUCCUGCUCUGGGGGACUGCUGAAGUGGCACAGUCCUCACUCGCGUCUCCUGGGUCUUAAGGAAGAGGAUGAAAGAGAAUCGGUCUUACGCUGAGUAGCCUGGAGAGGAGUCAGCCACACACACUCUGGGUGCCCUCGGGGUGAUGGGAGCGACUAGGUCCAUCUGACCCUCGCCGAGUCACUGCUGCUCCCAUCUCUGAGGAAGAGACGCAGUUCCAGCCUUGUGGAGUCCCAGGGCUGAUGGAGGAGACACCCUCCUCUUUAUUAAGGAAGUUCCCAAGACAAGGAUUAUUCAAACAAAGCUAUGGCAGUGAAUGUUGCUGUUUUUCCUCUCCUAAGAGCAUGAGAUGAUGCCUCAACUGAUCACCAGCUCUGCAGAGGCAGUCACUGAUACCAUCAUUUUCAUCUCCUAAUUGGAUUCCUAGGCAAAAGUGGGCAUGUUCAACCUACAAUUAAAGAUGCUUAUAUUUUACAA